GGCCGGUUAGCUCAGUCGGCAGAGCGUGUGCUAAUAACGCUAAGUCGUGAGUUCGAUCCUCACACCGGCCA
rnacentral:tRNA from 1 species